CCUACGGGAGGCAGCAGUGAGGAAUAUUGGUCAAUGGACGAGAGUCUGAACCAGCCAAGUAGCGUGAAGGAUGACUGCCCUAUGGGUUGUAAACUUCUUUUAUAAAGGAAUAAAACGAGGCACGUGUGCCUGUUUGCAUGUACUUUAUGAAUAAGGAUCGGCUAACUCCGUGCCAGCAGCCGCGGUAAUACGGAGGAUCCGAGCGUUAUCCGGAUUUAUUGGGUUUAAAGGGAGCGUAGAUGGGUUGUUAAGUCAGUUGUGAAAGUUUGCGGCUCAACCGUAAAAUUGCAAUUGAUACUGGCAGUCUUGAGUACAGUUGAGGUAGGCGGAAUGCGUGGUGUAGCGGUGAAAUGCUUAGAUAUCACGAAGAACCCCGAUUGCGAAGGCAGCUUACUAAACUGUGACUGACAUUGAUGCUCGAAAGUGUGGGUAUCAAACAGGAUUAGAUACCCGGGUAGUC
rnacentral:rRNA from 1 species